CCUACGGGAGGCAGCAGUGAGGAAUAUUGGUCAAUGGGCGCGAGCCUGAACCAGCCAAGUAGCGUGAAGGAUGACUGCCCUACGGGUUGUAAACUUCUUUUAUAAAGGAAUAAAGUGAGGCACGUGUGCCUUUUUGUAUGUACUUUAUGAAGAAGGAUCGGCUAACUCCGUGCCAGCAGCCGCGGUAAGACGGAGGAUCCGAGCGUUAUCCGGAUUUAUUGGGUUUAAAGGGAGCGUAGAUGGGUUGUUAAGUCAGUUGUGAAAGUUUGCGGCUCAACCGGAGAAUUGCAAUUGAUACUGGCAGCCUUGAGUACAGUUGAGGUAGGCGGAAUUCGUGGUGUAGCGGUGAAAUGCUUAGAUAUCACGAAGAACUCCGAUUGCGAAGGCAGCUUACUAAACUGCCACUGACAUUGAUGCCCGAAAGUGUGGGUAUCAAACAGGAUUAGAUACCCGAGUAGUC
rnacentral:rRNA from 1 species